GACGAACGCUGGCGGCGUGCUUAACACAUGCAAGUAGAGCGGAGCGGCGCACGGGUGAGUAACGCGUGAGUAACUGCCCACCUCUCUGGGGUAACAGUUGGAAACGGCUGCUAAUAACGGAUAGUGGGGGAUGACUCGGGUCCUAUCAGCUUGUUGGUGGGGUAGUGUCCUACCAAGGCGCCGCCGGGUAGCCGGCCUGAGAGGGCGACCGGCCACAGUGUGCUGAGAGACGGCCCAAACUCGGACGGUAGGCAGCAGUGGGGAAUAUUGCACAAUGGGUGAAACGCUGAUGCAGCAACGGCGCGUGCGGGAUAACGGCCUUCGGGUUGUAAACCGCGUGCAGUCAUGACGCGGUAGUGGCAGAAGAAGCACCGGCUAACUACGUGCCAGCCGCCGCGGUAAUUC
rnacentral:rRNA from 1 species